UACGUAGGGUGCAAGCGUUAAUCGGAAUUACUGGGCGUAAAGCGUGCGCAGGCGGUUAUGUAAGACAGAUGUGAAAUGCCCGGGCUUAACCUGGGAACUGCAUUUGUGACUGCAUGGCUAGAGUUUGGCAGAGGGGGGUAGAAUUCCACGUGUAGCAGUGAAAUGCGGUAGAUAUGUGGAGGAACACCGAUGGCGAAGGCAGCCCCCUGGGUCAAGACUGACGCUCAUGCACGAAAGGCGUGGGGA
rnacentral:rRNA from 1 species